rnacentral:rRNA from 1 species
AGAGUUUGAUCCUGGCUCAGGACGAACGCUGGCGGCGUGCCUAAUACAUGCAAGUCGAACGGUCUUUUCUAUGGAAGCUUGCUUCCACUGAGAAGAUAGUGGCGAACGGGUGAGUAACACGUGGGUAACCUGCCCAUAAGAGGGGGAUAACAUCCGGAAACGGGUGCUAAUACCGCAUAGUUUUCUUGAUCGCAUGAUCGGGAAAGGAAAGGCGGCCUUUGUGCUGUCGCUUAUGGAUGGACCCGCGGCGUAUUAGUUAGUUGGUGAGGUAACGGCUCACCAAGACGAUGAUACGUAGCCGACCUGAGAGGGUGAUCGGCCACAUUGGGACUGAGACACGGCCCAGACUCCUACGGGAGGCAGCAGUGGGGGAUAUUGGACAAUGGGCGAAAGCCUGAU